CUUCUGAGUUGGGAUGGGAGCUCCCCGUGCUGCUGCAGCUGCCCAAACCACAGCUGCAGACCCAGGCCUCCUGCUCUAUAGAGCAGACAGGAGCCCCGACCGGGGCUGCAGCAGCGCAAACUGCAACUGUGGAUCCGAGCCUCCCUGUGCUCUUGGGGGAGCUGGGAACAGCAGAGAUGACCUGCUAGCAGAGAGGAGCUGCUCUGUCUGCUGAGAGUUUCAGACACCUACAGAGACAUCUGAAUGACUUGCCUGCAUGGAGGAGCCACCCUCUCCAGGACCUCCUCUCUGCUGGGAGCUGAACAUUCGACAGGAUGACCUGCCUACGGAGAGGAGCUACCCACUCUUCUGAGCUGUUCUAUCACUAAAUAAAACUCUUCUUCACCCUUCACUUGUCUGGAUGCAGGACAAGAGCUUGGGCAAAGGCACCAUGGCCACAGAGGUUUCCAGUCAAAGAAAUCAACGCUCCAGAGAUCCCGUAACAUUUUGGUUCCUUGAUCUUGGACUUCCCAGCCUAGAACUGUGAGCAACAAAUUUCUGCUGCUUUUAAAUUACCUAGCCUAAGGUAUUUUGUUAUAGCAGCCUAAAUGGACUAAGACAACAUCUUUUGGUCUUCGGUCUUUUUAAAAAAUGCAUUUAUACAUAUGCACUACACACCACACAGUUUAGCUAUUUGUUUUACACACAUGAUAAUAAUAUAUGGAUCAUCAUUCAACCUGUUUUUUUCAUUUAACAAUAGGUCUUUAGAGCUUUGCACAUCACUGCAGUCAGCUCUAGCUCCUUCUUAUAAUGACAACCAGUAUUUCAUAUUAUGCAUAUAAUAUGUAUUGUUUGACCAUUUCUCUAUAUAACCAAUAAUGAAUGUUCUUGUAUGCAUCUUCAUGAAGCUAUGUAAGUAUUUCUUUAGAAUGGAGUAAUUGCUGAAUGAAAGGGUAUAUACAUUUUUCUAAAGUGAUCUUUCAGAUUCACUCCCUUCUAUAUUUUAUAUUUCCUAUCCAUUUCUGCUUAAACAUUUAAUAUUUUCAAUUAUUUUAGUUGAUACCAUUCUGAUAGGCAAAACUGGUACACUUGUUCUAAUUUGCACUUUUCAGAUGACAGUAAAUUGGAUAUCUUUUUAUUCUCUGUUUAUACUUUUUCUGUAAAUUUUCCUUUCCAUCCUUUGUCCAUUUUUUAAAUAGGCUAUUUGGCAUUUCCUUAUUAAUUUGCAAGAAUUCAAUGCAUGCUAGAUUAUUAACUUUUUUCUGUAAAUUUUCCUUUCCAUCUUUUGUCCGUUUUUUAAAUAGGCUAUUUGGCAUUUCCUUAUUAAUUUGUAAGAAUUCAAUGUAUGCUAGAUUAUUAACUAUUAGCCCUUUAAAUAUCUUGCAAAGUUUUCUCCCUGUAAUGUAACUUAAUUUUACAUAUGAUGUCUUUUACUGCAUUGAAGUUUUAAUUGAUUCAAUCUACAAUUAUUUUUAUGGCUUUUUUUGCCUUGUUUAGAAAUGAUUUCCUUGUUCCAAAGUUAGAAAAAUACGCUACUAUAUUUUCUUCUCACAUACAUUUCAGGAAUAACUUUUAAAUUUAUUUGGAGUUUAUUUCAGUGAGUGCCAUUAGGUAUGGAGUCAAUUUUUUCCCCAAAUAUAUAUUAAUAGUUAUUUCUCUUAACACAAUUUGGUAAAUUUCUUCAGCUGACUUAAAAUGUCACUUUUAUCAUAAACUAACUUUUAAAAUAUACCUAGGUCUGUACCUAGACAUUGGCUUAGAAUUCCAAUUUCCAGAAAAUUUGGCACAUAACAUUCAACAUUGAGAAAUAGCCUAGGAAACUUGAAGAAAAAAACACAGAAAGUAGAGAUACACAAAAUACAAAAUGAUAAAGGGGAAAUAACCACAUUAGAAGAACCAUUUAAGAUGGCUGAAAUCUAUGCAAAUGAAUUUUAAAACCUGGAUAGAAAUGAAUAACUUUCUAGAAAUUCACCACAUUUAUCAAAAGUGACUCCAGAAGAGAUGGAAAAUCUAAACAGUCUGAUUUUUAUAGAAGAAAUCAAGAAAACUUUCAAAGAGUUACACCCCCAUCAAGGCAACAAGACCCAUAGUAUUACAGAUGAAUUUGAUAAAGGCAUUAAAGGGCAAAUAAUUCCAAUGGCUUUUUUUUUUUUUUUAAUUGAUCAUUCCUGGGUGUUUCUCGCAGAGGGGGAUUUGGCAGGGUCAUAUGACAAUAGUGGAGGGAAGGUCAGCAGAUUAACAAGUGAACAAAAGUCUCUGGUUUUCCUAGGCAGAGGACCCUGCGGCCCUCUGCAGUGUUUGUGUCCCUGGGUACUUGAGAUUAGGGAGUGGUGAUGACCCUUAACGAGCAUGCUGCCUUCAAG
rnacentral:lncRNA from 10 species